AAAAAAAAAAAAAAAAAUCCAUCUCAUGUAAUUGUGAAUUGAAUAUUGAAUGACUAUAAAAAGAAAGAAAAAGAAAGAACGAAGAAUUAAAAUAAAGGUUCAAAAUCUAAGAUAAGAACAAAAAUUGUAUGUAUUCCCCCCACACUACAUGGGUAGAAACGAAAAAAAGUAAAUAUCGAAGUAAUCGGGAUAAUUCAAUAAAAAUUAUUCAGUUUUGAAUUUUGAAUUUCACUUCGACUAGAUAA
rnacentral:lncRNA from 1 species